ACUCAAAGGAAUUGACGGGGGCCCGCACAAGCAGUGGAUUAUGUGGUUUAAUUCGACGCAACGCGAAGAACCUUACCAGGUCUUGACAUACCGCGCAUACCCUAGAGAUAGGGGAAGUCCUUCGGGACGCGGAUACAGGUGGUGCAUGGUUGUCGUCAGCUCGUGUCGUGAGAUGUUGGGUUAAGUCCCGCAACGAGCGCAACCCCUACUAUUAGUUGCUACGCAAGAGCACUCUAAUGGGACUGCCGUUGACAAAACGGAGGAAGGUGGGGAUGAUGUCAAAUCAUCAUGCCCUUUAUGACCUGGGCUACACACGUAAUACAAUGGUACUCUAACAGAGGGAAGCGAAGGAGCGAUCUGGAGCAAACCCCCAAAAAGUAUCUCAGUUCGGAUUGCAGGCUGCAACUCGCCUGCAUGAAGUCGGAAUUGCUAGUAAUCGUGGAUCAUCAUGCCACGGUGAAUACGUUCCCGGGCCUUGCACACACCGCCCGU
rnacentral:rRNA from 1 species